GCCCUUUCAUUUCCAAUUGGGUUAUGUGGCUGGUUUGCUGUCUGACUGGUUGAGCAUACUAUCAAUCGUUACAGUAAUGUUAGUUUUACCGGUGUAAACGAUUUGGGGCCACGUUGCAGACGGUAGCGGGAGAGGUUUUUAUUUGGAAGGAACGCAGCAGUGUUAGAAUUGGAAGUAGCUGUACAGGUGUCAUAAAGUUUUGUUCCAACAGAUAAGUUGCAGAAUUUUAGGAAGAGUUACAUAGAUCAGGGGAAAACAGGUUGCUGGGUUUUCUGACUGCUGCUCCAUUGUAAAGAGUACUUGUAAAGGACCUUUUUUUACCAUGAGUGUUGGCUUUAUUGGAGCAGGCCAGCUGGCCUUCGCUUUGGCUAGAGGAUUCACAGUGGCAGGAGUUCUGGCUGCUCACAAGAUUACAGCAAGUUCCCCAGAUACAGACCUACCAACUGUUACAGAACUAAGGGUAAAAAG